rnacentral:rRNA from 1 species
GGGGAAUUUUCCGCAAUGGGCGAAAGCCUGACGGAGCAAUACCGCGUGAGGGAAGAAGGUUCAAGUAAUUGUAAACCUCUUUUAUCAGGGAAGAAAAAAAUGACGUUACCUGAAGAAAAAGCAUCGGCUAACUCCGUGCCAGCAGCCGCGGUAAUACGGAGGAUGCAAGCGUUAUCCGGAAUUAUUGGGCGUAAAGCGUCCGCAGGUGGUGAAACAAGUCUGCUGUCAAAGACUAGAGCUUAACUCUGGGAAGGCGGUGGAAACUGUAGCACUAGAGACCGGUAGGGGUAGAGGGAAUUCCCAGUGUAGCGGUGAAAUGCGUAGAGAUUGGGAAGAACACCAGUGGCGAAAGCGCUCUACUGGGCCGGAACUGACACUAAGGGACGAAAGCUAGGGGAGCGAAAGGGAUUAGAUACCCCAGUAGUC